CUUUAUGGCGAAGUUGGAGGGGGACACUUUCGAGUGUGCUGGUGACCUAGAGAGCCAGUCGACCAACCCCUUUCAGCUUUGCCACCAUA
rnacentral:antisense_RNA from 1 species